GUUGUAUAGUUAAGUGACUAAGCGUACACGGUGGAUGCCUAGGCAAUCAGAGGCGAAGAAGGACGUGCUAAUCUGCGAAAAGCGUGGGGGAGUUGAUAAGAAACGCUAAUCCCACGAUGUCCGAAUGGGGAAACCCGAUAGGUGAAGAGCCUAUCAUUGUUUACUGAAUAAAAUAGGUAAGCAAGGCGAACCGGGAGAACUGAAACAUCUAAGUACCCCGAGGAAAAGAAAUCAACCGAGAUUCUGCGAGUAGCGGCGAGCGAAAGCGGAGGAGCCAGUGAGUGAUAGCAACUGUUUUAGGAGAAUUGUCUGGGAAGGCAAGCAAAAGAGGGUGAUAGCCCCGUAUCCGAAAAAAGAGAUGUGGUACUAAGCUGACGAGAAGUAGGGCGGGACACGAGGAAUCCUGUCUGAAGAAGGGGGGACCAUCCUCCAAGGCUAAAUACUCCUGAUUGACCGAUAGUGAACCAGUACCGUGAGGGAAAGGCGAAAAGAACCCCGGGAGGGGAGUGAAAAAGAACCUGAAACCGUGUACGUACAAGCAGUGGGAGCCUGAAAGGGUGACUGCGUACCUUUUGUAUAAUGGGUCAGCGACUUAUAUUUUGUAGCGAGGUUAACCGCAUAGGGGAGCCGAAGGGAAACCGAGUCUUAACUGGGCGCUAAGUUGCAAGAUAUAGACCCGAAACCCGGUGAUCUAGCCAUGGGCAGGAAGAAGGUUGGGUAACACUAACUGGAGGACCGAACCGACUACUGUUGAAAAAGUAGCGGAUGACCUGUGGCUGGGGGUGAAAGGCCAAUCAAACCGGGAGAUAGCUGGUUCUCCCCGAAAUCUAUUUAGGUAGAGCCUUAUAUGAAUACCUUCGGGGGUAGAGCACUGUUUCGGCUAGGGGUCCAUCCCGGAUUACCAACCCGAUGCAAACUGCGAAUACCGAAGAGUAAUGUAUAGGAGACACACGGCGGGUGCUAACGUUCGUCGUGGAGAGGGAAACAACCCAGACCGCCAGCUAAGGUCCCAAAGUCUAUAUUAAGUGGGAAACGAAGUGGAAAGGCUUAGACAGCUAGGAUGUUGGCUUAGAAGCAGCCACCAUUUAAAGAAAGCGUAAUAGCUCACUAGUCGAGUCGGUCUGCGCGGAAGAUGUAACGGGGCUAAAAUAUAGCACCGAAGCUGCGGCAUCAAGAGAAAUCUUGUUGGGUAGGGGAGCGUUGUGUAAGCUGAAGAAGGUGGUUCGAGAGGGCUGCUGGAGGUAUCACAAGUGCGAAUGCUGACAUAAGUAACGAUAAAGCGGGUGAAAGACCCGCUCGCCGGAAGACCAAGGUUUCCUGUCCAACGUUAAUCGGGGCAGGGUGAGUCGGCCCCUAAGGCGAGGCUGAGAAGCGUAGUCGAUGGGAAAUGGGUUAAUAUUCCCAUACUUGGAUAAACUGCGAUGUGGGGACGGAGCAGGUUAGGUUAGCGUACGGAUGGAAGAGUACGUUUAAGUUGGUAGGUGGGUGAGUUAGGCAAAUCCGGCUCACCAUUAACACUGAGAGAUGAUGACGAGGCUCUACGGAGCUGAAGUAACUGAUACCCAACUUCCAGGAAAAGCCACUAAGCGAAAGGUUUAUCUAAACCGUACUGGAAACCGACACAGGUGGUCAGGUAGAGAAUACUAAGGCGCUUGAGAGAACUCGGGUGAAGGAACUAGGCAAAAUAGCACCGUAACUUCGGGAGAAGGUGCGCUGGCGUAGUGUGAAGUCCGAAGCGGAUGGAGCAUGAACCAGUCGAAGCGACGAGCUGGCUGCAACUGUUUAAUAAAAACACAGCACUCUGCAAACACGAAAGUGGACGUAUAGGGUGUGAUGCCUGCCCGGUGCUGGAAGGUUAAUUGAUGGUGUCAUCGAAAGAGAAGCACCUGAUCGAAGCCCCAGUAAACGGCGGCCGUAACUAUAACGGUCCUAAGGUAGCGAAAUUCCUUGUCGGGUAAGUUCCGACCUGCACGAAUGGCAUAAUGAUGGCCAGGCUGUCUCCACCCGAGACUCAGUGAAAUUGAAAUCGCCGUGAAGAUGCGGUGUACCCGCGGCUAGACGGAAAGACCCCGUGAACCUUUACUAUAGCUUGACACUGAACCUUGAAUUUUAAUGUGUAGGAUAGGUGGGAGACUGCGAAGCGGUAACGCCAGUUAUCGUGGAGUCGCUGUUGAAAUACCACCCUUUAACGUUUGAUGUUCUAACGAAGCGCUCGGGACGAGUGUUCGGACAGUGUCUGGUGGGUAGUUUGACUGGGGCGGUCUCCUCCCAAAGCGUAACGGAGGAGCACGAAGGUUGGCUAAUGACGGUCGGACAUCGUCAGGUUAGUGCAAUGGUAGAAGCCAGCUUAACUGCGAGACGGACAAGUCGAGCAGGUACGAAAGUAGGUCAUAGUGAUCCGGUGGUUCUGAAUGGAAGGGCCAUCGCUCAACGGAUAAAAGGUACUCCGGGGAUAACAGGCUGAUACCGCCCAAGAGUUCAUAUCGACGGCGGUGUUUGGCACCUCGAUGUCGGCUCAUCACAUCCUGGGGCUGAAGUAGGUCCCAAGGGUAUGGCUGUUCGCCAUUUAAAGUGGUACGCGAGCUGGGUUUAGAACGUCGUGAGACAGUUCGGUCCCUAUCUGCCGUGGGCGUUGGAGAAUUGAGGGGGGUUGCUCCUAGUACGAGAGGACCGGAGUGAACGCAUCACUGGUGUUCCAGUUGUUUCGCCAGAGGCAUUGCUGGGUAGCUAAAUGCGGAAGAGAUAAGUGCUGAAAGCAUCUAAGCACGAAACUUGCCCCGAGAUGAGUUCUCCCUGACUUAAAGUCAGUAAGGGUUGUUUAAGACUAAGACAUAGAUAGGCUGGGUGUGUAAGCGGUGUGAGCCGUUGAGCUAACCAGUACUAAUUGCCCGAGGGGCUUAACUAUACAACGCUGAAGGGUUUU
rnacentral:rRNA from 1 species